AGUAGUUCUUCUGUUGUUAACUGUCAACAUCCAAAAAAUUCCUUCAAAGGCACAUCUCAGUAAAUGUUUGAUGAAUAGCUGAGAAUAUAUAAGCACUAUGAAAUGGCUACCUCUUCUCUUUUGUCUUCAUCUUGUAGACGACCCUAGCCUAGCUAAGCUAACACAUUACAAAGCCCUGACAUCAAGUAACUAACACUUCCUAAUAGUCUCUAUUUAUUUAUUUAUUCAUUUUUACUGGCAGUACAGAUCUGCUUUACUGAUGUGUAAAGAAUAUAAAUUUAAGUACUACUAGAUAAUGUACAGUUACUUUUUGAAGGUUAAGAUUUAGAAGGUUAAGAUGGUUCACCUAAUCAUUUUUUGGCUUAUAGUUCACAUUUAACACAUGCAAUUUACCUGCUAGAAUUUAACUUGUUCUAUUUUUCUUCUUGGAACCAAUUUUAUGUGUACAGACUUCUUUUAAUAUUUAUUAUGAAGGAAAAUGACAAUUCAGAAACUUUUAAAAAAAAUCUAAAUGUGUUCAAGUUAAUUUGAAUUUACCUUACCUAAAAAAGAUGCUGUAUUUGAACUAGAAAGGAGCUAUGGAAACUAGCUAGGGAAAUCUUGUUAUCUAUGAAACAUGUAAAUCAGAUGAUGAUUGAUCAGUUUUGAAUUCUAAAAUAUCAACAGACAUUUUAGAAUGUGUCUGUGGUAUAGCCUAUGAGCUUAGUGCAGAGGUUGCAGUCAAGUAUAAGAUAUAAUACCUGUCCUUUGUAGCCAAGAUGCUAAGAAUAAUUUUUAACUUUAAAGGGCCUAAAUAAGCAAUUUGGAAAACAAUGUUCUAUGAAUACCCCCACCCCCCAUUGGUCAGUAUCCAUUUCAUUUUUCUAGUUUUCUAAGUGAUUACAAAGCAUACAGAUACUUUAAUAUGGAAGAACAUUCGACAUCCUAUUGUGAAAAAGGUUUUAUUCGGACUGUUGAUCCUCAAAGGUGUUAACAUUUCUUUGAUGAGCAGAAAUAAAUUG